rnacentral:rRNA from 1 species
UACGUAGGGUGCAAGCGUUGUCCGGAAUUAUUGGGCGUAAAGAGCUCGUAGGCGGUCUGUCGCGUCGGCUGUGAAAUCCCGAGGCUCAACCUCGGGUCUGCAGUCGAUACGGGCAAACUGGAGUGUUGCAGGGGAGACUGGAAUUCCUGGUGUAGCGGUGAAAUGCGCAGAUAUCAGGAGGAACACCGGUGGCGAAGGCGGCAUCCUGGACCGACAUUGACGCUGAACGGCGAAAGCUAGGGGAGCAAACGGG